GACGAACGCUGGCGGCGUGCUUAACACAUGCAAAUCGAACGGAAAGGCCCUGCUUUUGUGGGGUGCUCGAGUGGCGAACGGGUGAGUAACACGUGAGUAACCUGCCCUUGACUUUGGGAUAACUUCAGGAAACUGGGGCUAAUACCGGAUAGGAGCUCCUGCUGCAUGGUGGGGGUUGGAAAGUUUCGGCGGUUGGGGAUGGACUCGCGGCUUAUCAGCUUGUUGGUGGGGUAGUGGCUUACCAAGGCUUUGACGGGUAGCCGGCCUGAGAGGGUGACCGGCCACAUUGGGACUGAGAUACGGCCCAGACUCCUACGGGAGGCAGCAGUGGGGAAUAUUGCACAAUGGGCGGAAGCCUGAUGCAGCAACGCCGCGUGCGGGAUGACGGCCUUCGGGUUGUAAACCGCUUUCGCCUAUGACGAAGCGUGAGUGACGGUAAUGGGUAAAGAAGCACCGGCUAACUACGUG
rnacentral:rRNA from 1 species